rnacentral:tRNA from 1 species
UGCCUCGUAGCCAAGUGGUAAGGCACACGACUUUGACUCGUGCAUUUCGCUGGUUCGAAUCCCGCCGAGGCAA